CCNCCGGCGACCGGCGCACGGGUGAGUAACACGUAUGCAACCUGGCCGUGACAGAUGGAUAACCGGGAGAAAUCCCGCCUAAUACAACAUAAUGCCGGGAGGGGACAUCCCCUGCCGGCCAAAGGGGGCGACCCCGGUCACGGAUGGGCAUGCGGCGCAUUAGGUAGUUGGUGGGGCAACGGCCCACCAAGCCGACGAUGCGUAGGGGUUCUGAGAGGAAGGUCCCCCACAUUGGAACUGAGACACGGUCCAAACUCCUACGGAAGGCAGCAG
rnacentral:rRNA from 1 species